rnacentral:rRNA from 1 species
UACAAGGGAGACUAGUGUUAUUCAUCUUUAUUAGGUUUAAAGGGUACCUAGACGGUGUAUCUAGCCUGCGAGGGAACGGAUACGACUAGAGUUUUAUGUGGGAGGUAAAUAUGGUACUAUGUGUGUAGAGAUGAAAUUCUUUGAUAAUACGUAGGACAGGUAAUGGUGAAAGCAAUCCUCUAUGUAAAAACUGACGUUGAGGGACGAAGGCUUGGAUAGCGAACAGG